UCGAAAUCGGUAGCGCUACGGACUUAAUUGGAUUGAGCCUUGGUAUGGAAACCUACUAAGUGAGAACUUUCAAAUUCAGAGAAACCCUGGAAUUAACAAUGAAGAACUGAUUAAGCGGACGAGAAUAAAGAUAGAGUCCCAUUCUACAUG
rnacentral:tRNA from 1 species